GCUGUACUUAACAAGAAACAUUAUCUUUGUUCUUGCAUGUGUGUGUGUUGAGUUAUAUGUGAAAAGAUGAAAAUGUCAAACUCAGCAUCCCACCUUCCCCUCCCAACCUGAAGGCAUAGCUGAGAUCAAAAUAAAAACAGGAGAGUUCAUAAGCCCUGGAGCAGAAAGAGUCCAAUCGCUGCUGCUGUCCAGGGCUGUUUUUCUAGAAAAAAAAAGAUGCUGGAACUCACCAGGAACCUUCUCUUAGGUGCCCACCUGACAGGUGCCAGAACCCACCGAGAGGUGGCGGGACUGAGUUCCUGGGAGUUCCCCUGGAAAAAAGCCCUGCUGCUGUCAAUAUAUAAAGGGAAGUGUUAGCACGGCCGCAUAAUACGAAUGUGACGGGUACACUUUGUCCUGCAGUCUUUGUUCUUGGGCAGAAUAAACAGCCACUAGUCUGCUUUAAAAGUCGUUCAGGGUGUGGGGGAUGCUGGUUGCCCUCACAAAUUGUUUGCGUCCAUUUCCCACAAAGUGCCGUCUCCCAAAUUAUGUGAUACCAUUUUUGGUACAUUGGUACCCUUCACUUCUUUUCAAUCUCUGGCUAUCAAUAUUCUUGCUGCCGUUAAUAAGUAAUCAAUCAUAUGUUCAUAUAAUAGCCCUAGAGUUGUCGCGGCUGAAUAUACCUAACAAUGCUAUUUUGGGUUGGGGGCGGGGUUCCCAAAAAUAUUUUAUUAAUAAAUCAAAGAUAAAGAGCAAAACGAAAUACUGUCACAGGAAGCUGAAAGCAGCAUAAGGCUGAGAAUUGUUGUUGAACUUGUUGUUCCAAAACAGCACACACAAAAUAAUUCCUGCCCUGUGAUUCCUGAAUUGCAGAGGGUUAGAGUAGAUGACCCCUGGGGAUUCAUUCCAGCUUUACAAUUCUGUGACCCCCAGCUUAGUAAAAAAUCUUCUUUACUUAUAUGGUUCUUUAUGUUGAUUGAUAUAGCAAGUUGAAGUAAGUAGGUGUUAACCUUCAGGGGGUGUUGUUUUUCCAAAUCAUCUCUUCAGGAAUUUAGCUUACAAGUUAGGCAGAGAGACCAGCUUCAACUGUCUCCCCUCUUGAGAAUUAUCACUGGAUACAGAAUCGUAGAAUCCUAGAUCAUCCAUGGCAGAUGGCCAUCCAACCUCUGCUUAAAAACCUCCACGGAAGGAGAGUCCACCACCUCUCAUGGGAGCCUGUUCCAACGUUGAACAGCUCUUACAAACUCUAGAUAACAUCCCCAUAUAGAUCUAUCCAUGUAGCAGAAGCAAAUAUUCUUUUUUAAAACAUUAACUAUGGGAUAUAAUUACCGGUAAAUCAGAAAUGGGAACCAAACACACACAUGCUGAGUUCUAUUCAUAUUGGGUUGCAACCAUUGCUGGUCCUCCUGAGAGCAGACUCAUUGAAAUUAAUAGACGUGACUAACUUUGAUCUAUUAAUUCCAGUGGGUCUACUCUGACUGAAAGUUGGUUGGAUACAACACAGAGAGCCCAACAACAGAGUAAUUAGAUUCUGGGUAGCAAAGAGCUGGGUAGCAAAAGCUCAUCCCACCUCCCGCCCUCCGUAAGGACUAUAGUAUUCAAUUAGAUUGCUAUAACAUUCUUUACAUGGCUGUGUCCAUGAAAACAGUUUAGAAAAUUCCAUUGGCCCAGUGAUAGCCAGAAGUGUUUUGCUGAUGGCCAACUGAUCAAUCCACAUGAGGCCAACCCUACAUCAGUCUCCAGAGUUGUCACCUUCUUCCCUAGUUUUAAGCUUUAAAGGCCUCACAGUCCUGGGCUAGAUAGAGUAGGUCAGGAAUUGGCUGCUUCUGCCCAAGAACUUUGUCCUGUGUCUCCAUUCCUUCACUCUCUCCCUCUGCUGUUGAGGGACCACUUCUAGGUGAGUGCCAAAGACAGUUUUGUUUCAGAUUUAUAAGAUAAGGCUCUUUCAAUAUGCUGUGCUUCUGGAGCUGCUUCUACAACCCAACCAUAUGCAAACUUCCUUGGAAGUAAAUAUCCUUGCAGUUCAGAGGCUGCCAUCUCCUAUGGCUUUCAGAAGAAGAAGCAGAUUUAAAAGGCCCCCAUUUCUUUUUCACAAUUAGAAAACAGCCAAAGAAAUGAUAAGAGAAUGAUACAUACAGCAUGAAAAGGCCCAGGAAGGCAAUGAGAAGGAACCAUGUCUCAGUGGAGAAGCUUGAAAGGAGAUCCAUCUUGUUAGCCCUUGAUGACUCUCCGGCUUUGAAUGUGGAUUUCUGCCCUCUUUAUACUUGUUCAGGGCUGGAGCUCAAA
rnacentral:lncRNA from 1 species